rnacentral:misc_RNA from 1 species
CAUUACAGAGUUCAUGCCCUUCGGGGUAGAUCUCCCACCCGUGUUAUCAUACCAUUGUUGCUUUGGCGGGCCCGCCUCGGCCACCGGCUCCGGCUGGUGAGCGCCCGCCAGAGGACCCCAAACUCUGAAAUUUAGUGUCGUCUGAGUACUAUAUAAUAGUUAAAACUUUCAACAACGGAUCUCUUGGCUCUGGCAUCGAUGAAGAACGCAGCGAAAUGCGAUAAGUAAUGUGAAUUGCAGAAUUCAGUGAAUCAUCGAAUCUUUGAACGCACAUUGCGCCCCUUGGUAUUCCGGGGGGCAUGCCUGUUCGAGCGUCAUUACAACCCUCAAGCUCUGCUUGGUGUUGGGCGUCCCCGGCAACGGGGUGCCCUAAAAUCAGUGGCGGUGCCGUCUGGCUCUAAGCGUAGUAAAUCUCUCGCUCUGGAUGCCCGGUGGAGACUUGCCAGUAACCCCCAAUUUU